GAGGCCUGCUCCAGGUCCUCUUUAUUACAGACAGCCUUUCUUGACACAGCACCUGCCCUUUGGAACAUUAUUGGUCUAAAGAUUAGAUUGGCUUCAAUUCCGCUGGGCUUUUCACAAGGCCUUAAAAACAUGGUUCUCUUACUGGGGCUGGCAAUCUGGAGAUGUGGCUGAGCUUGUACAACGGUUGUUGAUCUGUUAUUGCAUCACCCUUUUACAUACAGAGAUUACUGAUGAUCUCCUGAAUCCAGCCAUCAUGCUCUCCCUGACCCAUUCCUGAGGUUGAGUAGAGAAUCAAUCUAGAGAACACCUAUUCACUUUAUCAGUCCAUAAGCCAAGGGAAGUCCCCAUCAACAUAGAAAGAUGGAACCAUGUCAGACUCUUCUCAUAAAGACCCUGCCAAUUCUGAACAAAAUGCUAUACAAGACCUUCAUAGUGGCCAGACAAGAGAUCUACAGGUUCAACCCUCCCUAGAAAAGAGUUGGCCAUGCUAAACAAAGCUGCUGGAUAAGACAAUAAUGGAGAGGUGGAAAAGACUGAAUCAAAAUGCAUCCUUAUGUGUAAGAUGGGCCCAUCAACCUCAUCUUACCAGCUUGGAGACCAAUAAUUUUCUUCCUUUCUUUGUCUUACACUAUCACUAGCAGCACCAUCACAAAAUCAUGCCAGUCUCAGCCCCAGGGCAGCUAAUUGGGAUGUUAAAUACAGUCUUUCUGACUCCCUGUCCUAGGGGGGUAAGGAAAUUCAGGAAUGACGUGUUCAAUUACAAUUAAGCCUGACACAUGCACACAGCAUGACCUUCACUAGGCUCUUUGAUGUUAUUAAAAACAACCUAGGUCCAGGACGGAGGAAAUGUUUAAAAGGGAAAAUGGUGGGGUCUAAAUUAAAUUUAACGAUGGUGUUCCUCAGCACCAUUCCUUGUGCACCCAGCACUACCACAAACCAAAAGAAAUGCCCUGCUGAAACCGAAAAACUCCACUAUACUAUUAUUGUAUCAAGCAAUUUUAAGCAUAAAGGGAUAUACUGUAUCAGACAAAUCCAUCUCUUUCAAAUGUUAACCAUUGGAAGAACCUCACAACAUCAAUAACUAAUGCCUUAUGGUGCUUUUUAAAAAUCUUUCCUUCUCAUGGGCAGGAUGGGGGUGGAAAGCACAAGACUGGGGAUGAAAGAGAGAAAGGAAGAGAGAAUGAGAAAGGGAGCACAUGAGUAGCUGUAUAAUUGCUUUUAGAUGCCCUGCACGCACAGACUGAUUUGAUGUUACUGGUUGUCUGUAUGCGACUCUGGUUUUUGUUUUGUUUUUUUCAAGUGAAGUAUAAGGUAAAAAUACUUUAAUUAAAUAUAUAAUCAACAUGUUUUGUAACACAUCUUCUCACUUUCUUUAACAGGUAUAAAUUUACAGAUUUUUAAAUUGUAUUUAUAAAGGAACUACACAUUUCCCAAUUAUUUGCUAUAAACAUAUGCAUCCCUGUCUAUACAAACAGGAUAUGUCCCUGCAUUCCUAUGACUCAAUCAGCUCUAUUUCUGACCUGGGUAAUCAAAUUUCUUGG